rnacentral:lncRNA from 1 species
AACCUGGGCUGAGAUCAUAAUUUUGGUGCUGACCAAACAGCGUGCGGAGGGCGGGCCUGGCUGCUCGUCCAGGACCACCUUGGGCUGCUCCCACCCCUGGGCUAAAGAAAAUAACUCCAACUCCACUCAGUUUUCUCUAACUGUACAGUUAUCAGCUGGGAGAGCCUUCCCCCUCCACGAUACAGCAGCAAAAGGAAUAUUUGGAAUACCAAAGUGUUUUCUGUGCAGUGAUUUCUUUCUGGGAUCUCCAUUCUCCGCUGCCUCUAAAUAAAAAUUAAUCCGAGUUUGGAUCCAUCUGGUCUGGGGAUCAGGAAAAGCGACUCUCCAAGCAGAUCAAAGAUGUUUAUGAAGGUUCCAUUCUUCAUCCUCGUCCUAGGGAGUGUGCCCUUGGCAGCACUUGCUGAAGAAGCAAGCUCAGUUCUAGAAGGAGAAGAAAGUGCAACGAUUGAUUUCAGAGACAGAAAUGACACGGAGUUUGAAGCCCUGCCAACCCUGUUUGGACACCUGAUGACCACAGAAAGUGCUUUUGUCCCGGAUGGAGACGGUGACAAUUCUACUGGUUAUGGAGUUAACACAGAGAGUGUCGAUGGUGAAGCGAGUGGGGAACCAGAGAAAACUGAAAAAGGUGGCCUGGAAACAAUUGCACUGGUUGGAAUAAUCAUUGGAAUCGUGGUUGCAGUUGGAAUCCUUGCAGGAAUAGUGAUUGCUGUCGUAAGGAAGAUGUCAGGCAGGCCCUGAAAACAGUUGAAACAAGCAGCCAUGUCAUUCUAUGCCAGAAAAUACAAGUGCUUCUUAUUUUAUAAGAACUAAAGACUAUUCCUGCAUUUGUGUGAGAAGAUGAUCCAUGGAAAAUACGGUCAAAGCAUUCCAGAUCUAUGGGGAUCCCACACAGCUCUAAGGACCACCCCCACUCUCCCUGAUUCCAGAGUAUGGAACAUUCCAUAGCAUUUCUACUAUCCAGGAUUUUACCAGAAGAAAAAAAGAUUUUGCAGUAAGAAAAAACCCUGCAGCAAACAGAUGUACACCUGAAAUGUGAUUUACAGGUAAUAUAUGCUUGGUUUUCAAAUGCAACCAAAGAUUAUGUCACAUUACAUUUUAUGGAUUUCUUUAAAAAAAAAAACAUAUCCAGAACAUAUUCAGAAUCUUUUAAGUGUUUUUGACUGGUUAAGUGCUUGUGGCAUGUUCAUCUACCACGUGAUGUAUCAAAAAGGAGGAAUUAGCUUCAGAGAGAACCAGUUAUUUACAAAUUAAAUAUCCAAAAAAUACAGGAUAUUGGAAGCUAAAAUCUUUCCACUAUUGAUACAGAUUUUCUGCUCAUGAUACUUAUGUUAUUCUGUGGCAAAAUAGGGUAGGCCUGGCUGGAACUGACCUACCAACUGAAAGCUUGCUCUGCUGACUAUUGCAUCAGGAAUUUCCUGCCUUCUCUUCUUGCAGAGACAUGCAGGGAUUGAAAUAAACAUCCUGAAUUAAGGGGUGUUUGGAAAAUA